UUCCUGGCUGUAUAUGACAAAAUCAAUAGAAUUUGAGAUUCGAUUAAAAGAGAGAAUUCAAAACUUUCUCCACACACAACUUGUCAAAAUAUAGAACGUAUACACUACAUUAAAAUGAGGAAGAUAAGUCGACCGUUGUUAUUGGUUAAUCUGUGCAUGUGCAUAUGCAUGGCCGUCGAUGAUCGGCUUCCUCCAAAUACGCACGCCGAAUAUGUGAACAGUUCGAACGCAAUCACUCGCGCGUGUGCUCGUGUUUCGCCGGACAUCGUAGACGUACGUCUUUCGCGCAUUCGCUGUAAGAUGAACUGGUCUUUAGGCCGGAUUCACACUGGCCAGCGAUCGCGGCUGCAGCCGGCGACUGUUGCUGUGGAAGCGGUCCCAUCGGG
rnacentral:lncRNA from 1 species